rnacentral:rRNA from 1 species
UACGAAGGGGGCUAGCGUUGCUCGGAAUCACUGGGCGUAAAGCGCACGUAGGCGGAUUGCUAAGUCAGGGGUGAAAUCCUGGAGCUCAACUCCAGAACUGCCUUUGAUACUGGCGGCCUUGAGUCCGGGAGAGGUGAGUGGAACUGCGAGUGUAGAGGUGAAAUUCGUAGAUAUUCGCAAGAACACCAGUGGCGAAGGCGGCUCACUGGUCCGGUACUGACGCUGAGGUGCGAAAGCGUGGGGAGCAAACAGG